ensembl:antisense Gm16796 predicted gene, 16796
ACCAGGGAAUGGCUGGGUGACUGUAAAGUGUGCGGGGCACAACGUGGGGACCCGUGUCCUUCCUAAUGGCUGGGGAAAGCCCGGAGAGCCACCACGCUAGCUCGGGCCGACUGCUCUCAACGCCGAUUAGACACUGGGUGCACGGACAGAGCAUGGACAGACCCGGGCGGAGCACAGAGAUGCGGGAGCGGAGGCCGCCCCGGGACGCGGGAGCGGACGCCCCGGGAUGCGGGAGCCCGACCCGGUGCCCGGGGAGAUGCACGACCCUGAGCAGGCGAGGCGGUUGCCAUGACGGCGAGCCGAGGGAACAGUAGUACCCGGCGCGGGCCCCGGCCCCUCGGACACCUCACCUCCUCAGACCCCGGCCCCCCGCGCCCCGGCCCACGGCUCCUCGGACCCCGGCCCCGCCGCACUCACCGCCUUCUUCAUGGUGGCCGCCAUCUUGGACUGGACCACGGGGCGCGGGGGAAGACCUCCGGGCGUGCGUCACCCCCCGAGGUCCCUCUCGAGCCCUGCUGAGCCACACCGCCCCCUAAAGCACAGCCCCGUCUCAACACUGCUGCUAUCUAUGUCUCUGAACUGUGGAUUCCCGGGGCAAGGACUCAGGAAACAAAACUAUGACCUGGGAACACUUGGUAUCUUCCAAUUAAAGGGACAGGCAGCUUCUCUCUCGGCCGGCAUAAAUACCAAACGCGGCCGCUAGGUCCCAGCCACGGCCAGCAGGGGGAGCGCUGGGUACCACCCAGCUGCAUGGCCUGGGAGGCUUAAAUUGUUUUUCCAUUUAUUCAACAACCUAGUGAGAAGCUAGGGAGGCUAAGGGCGUGACUUCGGCAAAGUGUUUGGUAAAUCACUUUGGUCAAGUAUUUGCACUCAAGCAUGGGAACCUGAGUUCGAUCUACAGCCCCUACCACAUGAAAACCCAGUGCUGGCGAAGCUGCAAGCUGAAGGCCACCCUUGAAGUUGGUCUUAGCUUGUAUGCCACUGAUCACUGCAGGGGACACUAGGGGAUUAGCCAGGAGUAGAUGAAGCCAAAGCCACUGAUGCCACAUGAGCCUCUCUUGUCCCUGUUUGUCACCACCACUUUGGUCUCAGAAUAUGCAGUAUUCUUCCUUAAACAUCCUAGCUCAUAGUCCCCAGUAACUCCCUGAAACAUCAGAGGCUGUGCUGGGCUGUGCUGUGCUGGGAGUGAGGAUGGGGGAGAAAUGGGGAAAUGAGCUGACUUUCUGGUCUGCAGCUGUGGAGAUGGCUGGUGUCAUGGCUGAACCUGGAGCUGCAUACCCAGCACUAGAAGUGGCCCUACAGUGACCUGAAGACUUGGAGAUUGUCUGCCUGUUCACUGAGUCUGUCUGCAUCCUGCAGAGGAAGCCCAUCAUCACUAGAAGGACAUAGCUUGCCUCUGUGAUCUAGUCAAUCAUGCUGUAACUAUAUCCGCCAUUUCCCCGACAUGUUCUUAUCCCAUUUUAAUAAAUAUCAUAGUGAAGCUUAUAUGUGCAUUUUUUUUUCUUUGUCCUCACAAGAUUGAAACAAACUAGAACUACCUUAAACAGUGAGCCUCCUGAGCCUCCCGCACUCAGCUGGCAAGCACUGACAGAUACCAGUGCGGAGCUUUCAAGAGGAACCCAGCUCCAACCAUUAGCUGUAGGACCUUCAGUUGAGGAUGGCUGUAGCUGGUCCAGCAGCCCUGCCAGAGUGAGGAGUAACAAGAGAGAUUGCUGUUUCCCGUUGGUGAUGUGACAAAUUAGAACCUGCAGUGACUCAGAACCCACACUCAACAACAGAAGCCAGGAGGAUGGUGGCUGGCUCUCUCCUGUUUCCUGGCAACUGUGUGAGUUGAUGUCAUCAGCAGAGAGUGCAUUCUAACUAAGCAGGCUUUCCCCACCUUGCUCCUCCUCUCUGACACAGGGCUGGGCAGGGUGCCUAGCACACCAUAGGUGCUGAGCAGCAAUGCUGGUGACUCCCGCAAAGAACUCCAUUCUGACUGGAGAGAACGAAAACAAGUCAAGAGAUCUCUGGAGAUGUAUAUUUAAUUAUUUUUCACCGGAAAAUGCCACCACGGCGGAGGGAGUCUGUGGAUGCGCAUGUAUAAAUACACAGGAUUCCAACCAUCCCUUCCAAGAUUCAGUAGCCUUGAAGCUGUCAGAACAGAAGGGAUUGCCUAACUGCUGUCGCUGAGUAGAACCAAUAGUAAAAUCUGUCAUAAGAAUAGUUAGGCAAAUUGCUACUGCACAAAACUUGGGCAUAUUCUCUGCUGACUGGGCACUUUUGUUUUUAGGAGAAAGGGACUCUUCCAUAAUUAUCUGUAAUUGUCUCACUGGUCCUCUGUCUGAUCAUUAACACUGCAGCAGAGUGUCCACACUCACCCCAGCAGGAGUUUACUUUCCCCAACAACAGAAGUACUUCCUGCUUCAGUCACCUGGCAAGGUGUAUGUUUGUGGGUUCACGUUAAAGCCCUGGAGAAGCAUAACCACAUCUCAGUGAUGCCCAAAUAAGUCAAUAGGCCCUCAGACUCAUCAUGGCAGGCUCCCAACCUACAAGAGCAAACUCAACUGUGCUUCAGACCCCAAGUAUUUGGCACUGAAAAUCCCAUCAUAAGAUUUCCCUGUAUUACACACAGAUUGGAUUAGCCAAGUCAUACCAUGCAGGAAAAGACGCAGAACAGGACUGACAAAUGUUUCACUCAGUGGACCUCCGAUAAACUUUAUGCUGAGACUGGGGACUCUCCCCAGUGAACAUGAGACAUGGACUUCUAAGAAACGGAAAUUCUCUAAUUUACUUCUGUGAAUACACUAGCUAAUAGGAUCCUGUACUUCCGAGCAUCUCUUUGUAAUUCAUAAAGCAGUCUAGUGCUAGCAUUCAGUGUGGCACGUAAGUUUAAUCCCAGCACUCAGGAGACAGAGGCACGCAGAUCUCUGUGAGGUCAAGACCAGCCUGGCCAACAGAGCAAGUUCCAGGACAGCCAGGGCUACAUAGUGAGACCCUGUCCCAAAAUCAAAGCAAACAUAAACUGUCUAACGUUAAACUCCCAGGAAAAUCUACUUCAUCUGAAACCUGUUUCCGUCUUGAUCGCGC